rnacentral:miRNA from 1 species
UCUUACAGAUCAAGUUGAUUCGGA